rnacentral:ncRNA from 1 species
GUCUAAGUACAUGCCGUACCAAGGCGAGACCGCGAACGGCUCAUUAAAUUAGUUAUGGUUCCUUGGAUCGUACCUUACUACUUGGACAACUGUGGCAAUUCUAGAGCUAAUACAUGCAGCAGAGCUUCGACCCUGUGGCAAAGCACUCGAGGGCUAUGUGCUUAACUGAAACGAGGCCGUAGUGGAGCAUUUUCUAUGGGAAACUGGGUUGUAAACACGUUAUACGCAAGGCAAACCACGAAAACGCCUAUGCAGCAACCCGUUCCUCAGAAUUCGUAUCCCAGACCGAG